AUUGAACGCUGGCGGCAGGCCUAACACAUGCAAGUCGAGCGCGAAAGCACUUCGGUGUGAGUAGAGCGGCGGACGGGUGAGUAACGCGUAGGAAUCUACCUAGUAGUGGGGGACAACUCGGGGAAACUCGAGCUAAUACCGCAUAAGCCCUACGGGGGAAAGCGGGGGACCUUCGGGCCUCGUGCUAUUAGAUGAGCCUGCGUUGGAUUAGCUAGUUGGUGGGGUAAAGGCCUACCAAGGCGACGAUCCAUAGCUGGUCUGAGAGGAUGAUCAGCCACACCGGGACUGAGACACGGCCCGGACUCCUACGGGAGGCAGCAGUGGGGAAUAUUGCGCAAUGGGCGAAAGCCUGACGCAGCCAUGCCGCGUGUGUGAAGAAGGCCUUCGGGUUGUAAAGCACUUUCAAUUGGGAGGAAAGGUUCACGGUUAAUAACCGUGAGCUGUGACGUUACCUUUAGAAGAAGCACCGGCUAACUCCGUGCCAGCAGCCGCGGUAAUACGGAGGGUGCAAGCGUUAAUCGGAAUUACUGGGCGUAAAGCGCGCGUAGGUGGUCUGUUAAGUCGGAUGUGAAAGCCCCGGGCUCAACCUGGGAACUGCAUUCGAUACUGGCAGACUAGAGUGCGAGAGAGGGAGGUAGAAUUCCAUGUGUAGCGGUGAAAUGCGUAGAUAUGUGGAGGAAUACCAGUGGCGAAGGCGGCCUCUCUGGCUCGACACUGACACUGA
rnacentral:rRNA from 1 species